rnacentral:rRNA from 1 species
GAUGAACGCUGGCGGCGUGCCUAAUACAUGCAAGUCGAGCGAACGGACGAGAAGCUUGCUUCUCUGAUGUUAGCGGCGGACGGGUGAGUAACACGUGGAUAACCUACCUAUAAGACUGGGAUAACUUCGGGAAACCGGAGCUAAUACCGGAUAAUAUUUUGAACCGCAUGGUUCAAAAGUAAAAGACGGUCUUGCUGUCACUUAUAGAUGGAUCCGCGCUGCAUUAGCUAGUUGGUAAGGUAACGGCUUACCAAGGCAACGAUGCAUAGCCGACCUGAGAGGGUGAUCAGCCACACUGGAACUGAGACACGGUCCAGACUCCUACGGGAGGCAGCAGUAGGGAAUCUUCCGCAAUGGGCGAAAGCCUGACGGAGCAACGCCGCGUGAGUGAUGAAGGUCUUCGGAUCGUAAAACUCUGUUAUUAGGGAAGAACAUAUGUGUAAGUAACUGUGCACAUCUUGACGGUACCUAAACAGAAAGCCACGGCUAACUACGUG